GUGAGUAUAGCUCAGUUGGCAGAGCACCAGGUUGUGGCCCUGGUGGCCGUGGGUUCAAGUCCCACUACUCACC
rnacentral:tRNA from 1 species